rnacentral:rRNA from 1 species
UACGGAGGGUGCAAGCGUUAAUCGGAAUUACUGGGCGUAAAGCGCACGCAGGUGGCUGAGUCAGUCGAUUGUGAAAGCCCUGGGCUUAACCUGGGAAUUGCAGUCGAUACUACUCAGCUAGAGUAUGGGAGAGGGUAGUGGAAUUCCCGGUGUAGCGGUGAAAUGCGUAGAUAUCGGAAGGAACAUCAGUGGCGAAGGCGACUUCCUGGACCAAUACUGACGCUCAGGUGCGAAAGCGUGGGGAGCGAACAGG